rnacentral:rRNA from 1 species
UACGUAGGGUGCGAGCGUUGUCCGGAAUUAUUGGGCGUAAAGAGCUCGUAGGCGGUUUGUCGCGUCUGCUGUGAAAACUCGAGGCUCAACCUCGGGCUUGCAGUGGGUACGGGCAGACUAGAGUGCGGUAGGGGAGACUGGAAUUCUCGGUGUAGCGGUGAAAUGCGUAGAUAUCGAGAGGAACACCUGCGGCGAAGGCGGGUUGCUGGGCUGACACUGACGCUGAGGCGCGAAAGCCAGGGGAGCGAACGGG